CCCGCCCCGCCCCUCCGAGCAGCCAAUGGGCACCCGCAGGGGGAGAAGCCGCCGUGCGCGAUUGGCCAGAGCUGCGUGCCAAUCACACAGCUACAGGCUGGAAAGUAAAUGAGAACUAAGCCUUAAGAUUGUGAAGAGGACAAGAACCAGCAUCCCUCCUCUCUCUUCAUAUCCAGGUCUGAUACUGUGACUUCCAUUCAAAUAAGCCUCAUAUUGUCUUCAGUGAGUUUUGCCAAGAGAUGUUAAGAUCCUUCAGCCAAAACUUAUGAAAAGAUUUAACCUGUGAGGAUGAACACUUCAAGAACGAUGGCUACAACACUAUGUAUUGUAUUCACUGCUGAUUGCAGAUGAAAAAAACUGCUUUUAGAUUUUUCUCUGGAGAUGCUGCUAGGUUAACCUUUACUGGUGGCUGGAACAUAACCUCUCCACGCUCAUUUCAGAGUCAAAGGACAGGGGUACCUGGACAUAUACAACCUUUCAUUAUUGUUUCCAGCAUGUGUCUGGGAUCAGAAGCCAUCAGAAGGGGAUCAGUCACAUUCAGAACAGAAAUUGCCUCCAUCAGGAUCAAAUUCACUGUAGAAGAUCUGAUUUUUGCUGCUCCUGCUUCCUUAUAGGAGGACAAUGUACCACCAUUGAAAGCUGCCUUCCUGGGUUUAUGGUAACUGGUUUAUGGUUUAUGGUGUUGUGGACACUUAAAAAGGGUAUAGGAAUCCAAUCUCAUUCUCAGAUAACUUCAUAGAGUGUUUUCAUUGCCUGGAAUGAAUUUGGACCUGCCUUAGCAGAGUCAGAGCUGCAGGUAGUGCUCUGACCAUACAUGGCAUAUUCACAAGCUCUUGUACUGCCCUAAAGUUCUGAUUUUUCGCUGUGAAAUAGCAGCUUCCUUUAUUUCAUGGGCAUUAAAAUAGAGUGGUGCACAGUUUCUAAUCAACAAUUACAAAAAAGAGAGGGGAGAAAAGGAAGGAUCACAAAAGUCAAUUACCAGCAAAAGCCUCCAUAGCAACUAAACUUACUACUUCUUUUCUUUCUAAGCCUCCUUGUACAUGCCAUAAGCACAAAGCAGCCAGGCCUCCCUACAGUUCAUUGGUGCCAAGUGGAUUAGGCUGGCAGAGGCUGUGCUGGUUUAAUCCCCUUUAAUGCCUUGUACCUUCAGUCUGAUGAGCAGCCAGACCCUUUUUCUCCAGCUCCACACUGAGCUCAUCAGCAGUAAUGGCUUAUCAUUACCAUCAGCAACAGGAAACUGCUUUUCCCUGUGCUCCAGGGUUUCAUGCCCCUUAAAAAAGCUGAAGAAAAAAACAAGCUUUUGCUGAAGUUUUCUUCCUUCUAACAGCUGCAAGUUGCCUAGUGAAGGGUAGUAGCAUUUAUGCACAUUGCCCCUGAAAAGUGAAAAUGAAAACUUGGCAGUAAAAGGCCAAUUCUUGGCAAGCCCGUGAAAAAUAUUUUUCACACCACAGAGAGAUGGCUUUCAUUCACAACUGAAGUGUAUCCUACUGGAAUGCAACACCAAGUAGUAUUUCACAGGCUUUUCUAUACUCAGGGUAGAAUGGGCUGGAUCGUACUUGUGUUCUUGGAAGUACCGGGAGAGACAGGAUAUAUUCAGGCUGGGGAGGAUGGGGACCCUUGGGCUCACCCACAGAGCAUGACCUGGCCAUACAUCAUGAAAAGAACUUUAAUGGGACUUUUUAUUCCUAUUACUGAGACAGAAGCAGAAAUGGCAAAUUAUAGGAAGGGCAGAAGACAUGCUGGUAAAUCUGGACAUCCUCUGCCCAGAGGGACAGAGAGUGCAGAAGUAUAACACUAAGCCUGUUCUUGGGAAAGGGACAAACUUGGUUUACUAGACAGCUGGACUCCUGCAAACCACCAUUUCAAAAGCAGUUCAGUGUAUAAUUUGUCUGUACCUGUGUGUGCCUUGGUAUCUAUUGGUGUGUUGGAGGGCAACUGUCAUUGCAAUGUGUGGUAGCCAUCCUCACUCCUGCUAGCCACACAGCCUUCCACGUUCAGCUAACUCUGUGUUCUGGUAUAAGGACUGAUGCCCCAAGAAAACGUUUCAUGCCCCAUAGAUUGCAGCAUCUGUAAAAUAAUUUCCACAUACAAAGCAGCAGAAGCCCUAAACUUAUGACAAGCUCUGUCUCAUAGCAUUGCUCUGAGGGACCCCAGCCUGUGGUUGCUCUCCUGCUAUUACUGUCAGCUAUGGAGGGAAAGGCAUGAAAGCAAGAGUGCAAAACAGACAGAGGUAUCCAAGUGCAACCUGGCUGUAUAGAGCAGGAUUGUGAUGAUUUUGGCUUCUUGGCGUAAGUUAUCCUAUUAUUAAUGUUUAGCAAAACUGUUUCUAGUAAGAUCUACGCAAAAGAACUAUGGAUAACUUAAAGUAACUUCUGAUGACUCAGAAGACAAAAAUAAAUAUUUCUAUAUGUCAUGAAAAAGACUGACUUAAACAGAUGAACCCCUUCUCAAGUAAUUUUAAUACAUUUGAAUGUCUUAAUUCCUUUGCCCUUAUUUUUCAUUGUCACUGGUGUAAUGUCAGCCUUUUCACAGGCAGCUAUGGAAAGGAAGUGUUACUAAGGUCCCAUUAUGCUAUGAGAAUAUCUUUCUUUGAGUUUUUUGUCAAACAUCAUUUGAUAUUAAUUAUAGAAGAAAUAAAUAGAUUUUUAUUAGCAUAAGAGAGGCUGAGAAUCUCUCCAAUACAUGUAAAAUUCAGCAAGCCAAAGUCCUGUUUGCUUUUGCAACAGUAGCUUCACCUCUCUGACACAGCUAGUGUGACCACCACGUUUUUAAACAGCAUUGGUAUGAGAGGGAUAUCGAGCAGAUGAAUAUAAGGGCUGGCUUUAAAAGUCACUUUCUGUUUUUAAAAACCCUCUAAAUGACCUUGAAAGAAAGCAUAACACUCAUGCCUAACAUUCACCUGCUGGUUAUUUCUGUACUGCUGUCAGUGAGUAACAUCCCAGGCAAUUCUGUGCCAUCAGAAAUGUUACCAUAUUGUUUAUAUAUUCCCAUAAAGUCUUUGCUAUGUUAUUUAUUGAUGAAGUCAAAUAGAACCCCAAAGAUUUUUCUUGCCUUUGUUUCUUCUAGAUCACAUCUCCAAAAUUGGUUUAAAGUGGCAGAAAUAUCAUGGCAUAACAAUGUAGUGAAUCAGUUGUAUUAUUUUACAGGUUGAAGCAGAGGAGAAGAAAGCUUCACUGUUUUAGCACAAGGAUUUUUGUUUUCUGUUUUACAUGAUAAAGAGUCCAGAUAAAUAGCAAAGAUAAAUCAGUGACAAAAAAAUGUAUGCCAGUAACUGGGCUUCUGGAUGCCCGAGGGCUGCCAGCUUUUCCUGGGUGAUCCCUGCUUGUAUGUGCUGUACUUGGCUGACAGCACUAACCUCAGCUGCUGCUGAAAGCUUUGUGGAAGAAAAAGCCUGGCAGAAUACAAGAGGGAGGCAAUGGAAACCAGACUCUUUAAAAAGUGAGAAAAUAUUAGAAGUGCCAUGGUGGGCUUUGGGUGGGGCAAUUCAGCAGCUGUCCUGCACAACAACUGGACUCAUGCCAGAGCAUUUGGUAUGGCCCUUCACUGGUAUGGUGCCUUCAGUGACUGUAGGGGACAGAGCCAUAGUAAACUUGGCUUCACAUGAGCUGAAAAGUUGACAGCUGACAGUGGAAAUUAUGCUGGUAACAGAACGGCCCCAUUGAGUUUUUGGGCUGUUGUCAUUAGGACAUUUUCUUAGUUCUACAUUCUUCCCAGCAUCUAGUUUUCAGAUUUUCCACAAAUAUUAGGGUUAGGAGUCAGUUUAACCAACUGUAGCUUUUAAGAAAUCAGUUGUCUAGGCUAAACCAUGGUCAUGUGUCCUUUUAAAUCACUAGUUGUACUGAUUAUAAAAUACAGUGUAUAGAGUACACCCGGUUGGGUUUGGUUUAGCUUGGUUUUUAAAUGACCUGCUUUUUAUAAAAGAAUUAAUUAAUCUUAAGAGGAUCUUCACUAUUCACUAGAGGAAAAGCCAAGGAGAACACAUAAAUUCACCCUGGAGUAGUGACUGCUCAGCUGAAUCACUGUCCAUGCUGUGGUGCUGAUAACAACUACAUCUCCUGAACAUCUAAGGGGAAUGUGGAAACAUUGACCUCUGCAGACACUGAACAUAUCCUGUUCCUUGAGCUCAUUAACCCCACAGAGGCUGUCAUUUUCAGACGGCCAAAGUCAUGUUACAUGAAUCCCAUCUCAGAUAUUUGUAUUGCACUAAUAAAAACAUACCAGAAAAUAUGAAGAAAAAGAAAAGAAAAAUACCAAGGCUCUAUCUCCUCAUGCCAGUUCAUAGACUUGAGUGAGGUUACUGUGAUUCAUUGGAGUGGAAUCCAUGAGUUAUUAUGUUGUGCUGUCACUACACGUUUGGGAGUGAGGGACGCUUGUCUGGUCACCGGAUGGUGUCCUUCUCAGAAUGAGAAAUGGCAAGGCCAGUCAAGUUCCUCCAGUCUCUAAUAAAUUUCCCUCAUGGAGACUCAGUGUCUUCUACGACAUGGCCUAAGUAAACAUCCAGCAGAAAAGAAAUCCUAUUAACUUCAAACAACUGUGGAUGAGAUUCCCAGUUUGUAUGUGUGACCUAUGGCAAAUCAAAGUGUUUGUUGCCUCAGCAACUCAGAUAAGUCUCUAAGAGAGGACUGAAGGAGUAUGUCUGUCUGAAGGACACAUUAUCUUGCAUCAGCUUUACUUUUCCGGAUGAAAAACUCCUGUCCCAAAGGACCUUUGGACAUAAAACAACAAGAAGGACAUCAAACAUGAAAUGGAUUUCUUUCUGUUCUUUUAUUGAAACGUGAUGGCUUCGUUAAUAAAUCUCUCCUUUGAAUGGGAGUUAAGACAAGCUGUGUGGUCUGUAAUUAACAUGAUUAGCCACUUUCCAAUCUUCCACAAAGCCAGGGUUUUUCUGUGGGGCAUUUUUACUGAUAUUUCUGUGAACAGUUUGAA